AUACUUACCUGGCAGGGGAGAUACCAUGAUCAAGAAGGUGGUUCACCCAUGGCGAGGCCUGGCCAUUGCACUCCGGUGGGGCUGACCUAUGCGAAUUCCCCAAAUGUGGGAAAUCUCGACUGCAUAAUUUGUGGUAGUUGGGGACUGCGUUCGCGCUCUCCCUGA
ensembl:snRNA U1 U1 spliceosomal RNA